rnacentral:rRNA from 1 species
GCGAUCAGGGACCUCUAAUCGGGAAA